rnacentral:rRNA from 1 species
GUAGGGCGGGACACGUGGUAUCCUGUCUGAAUAUGGGGGGACCAUCCUCCAAGGCUAAAUACUCCUGACUGACCGAUAGUGAACCAGUACCGUGAGGGAAAGGCGAAAAGAACCCCGGCGAGGGGAGUGAAAAAGAACCUGAAACCGUGUACGUACAAGCAGUGGGAGCACGCUUAGGCGUGUGACUGCGUACCUUUUGUAUAAUGGGUCAGCGACUUAUAUUCUGUAGCAAGGUUAACCGAAUAGGGGAGCCGAAGGGAAACCGAGUCUUAACUGGGCGUUAAGUUGCAGGGUAUAGACCCGAAACCCGGUGAUCUAGCCAUGGGCAGGUUGAAGGUUGGGUAACACUAACUGGAGGACCGAACCGACUAAUGUUGAAAAAUUAGCGGAUGACUUGUGGCUGGGGGUGAAAGGCCAAUCAAACCGGGAGAUAGCUGGUUCUCCCCGAAAGCUAUUUAGGUAGCGCCUCGUGAAUUCAUCUCCGGGGGUAGAGCACUGUUUCGGCAAGGGGGUCAUCCCGACUUACCAACCCGAUGCAAACUGCGAAUACCGGAGAAUGUUAUCACGGGAGACACACGGCGGGUGCUAACGUCCGUCGUGAAGAGGGAAACAACCCAGACCGCCAGCUAAGGUCCCAAAGUCAUGGUUAAGUGGGAAACGAUGUGGGAAGGCCCAGACAGCCAGGAUGUUGGCUUAGAAGCAGCCAUCAUUUAAAGAAAGCGUAAUAGCUCACUGGUCGAGUCGGCCUGCGCGGAAGAUGUAACGGGGCUAAACCAUGCACCGAAGCUGCGGCAGCGACGCUUAUGCGUUGUUGGGUAGGGGAGCGUUCUGUAAGCCUGCGAAGGUGUGCUGUGAGGCAUGCUGGAGGUAUCAGAAGUGCGAAUGCUGACAUAAGUAACGAUAAAGCGGGUGAAAAGCCCGCUCGCCGGAAGACCAAGGGUUCCUGUCCAACGUUAAUCGGGGCAGGGUGAGUCGACCCCUAAGGCGAGGCCGAAAGGCGUAGUCGAUGGGAAACAGGUUAAUAUUCCUGUACUUGGUGUUACUGCGAAGGGGGGACGGAGAAGGCUAUGUUGGCCGGGCGACGGUUGUCCCGGUUUAAGCGUGUAGGCUGGUUUUCCAGGCAAAUCCGGAAAAUCAAGGCUGAGGCGUGAUGACGAGGCACUACGGUGCUGAAGCAACAAAUGCCCUGCUUCCAGGAAAAGCCUCUAAGCAUCAGGUAACAUCAAAUCGUACCCCAAACCGACACAGGUGGUCAGGUAGAGAAUACCAAGGCGCUUGAGAGAACUCGGGUGAAGGAACUAGGCAAAAUGGUGCCGUAACUUCGGGAGAAGGCACGCUGAUAUGUAGGUGAAGUCCCUCGCGGAUGGAGCUGAAAUCAGUCGAAGAUACCAGCUGGCUGCAACUGUUUAUUAAAAACACAGCACUGUGCAAACACGAAAGUGGACGUAUACGGUGUGACGCCUGCCCGGUGCCGGAAGGUUAAUUGAUGGGGUCAGCGCAAGCGAAGCUCUUGAUCGAAGCCCCGGUAAACGGCGGCCGUAACUAUAACGGUCCUAAGGUAGCGAAAUUCCUUGUCGGGUAAGUUCCGACCUGCACGAAUGGCGUAAUGAUGGCCAGGCUGUCUCCACCCGAGACUCAGUGAAAUUGAACUCGCUGUGAAGAUGCAGUGUACCCGCGGCAAGACGGAAAGACCCCGUGAACCUUUACUAUAGCUUGACACUGAACAUUGAGCCUUGAUGUGUAGGAUAGGUGGGAGGCUUUGAAGUGUGGACGCCAGUCUGCAUGGAGCCGACCUUGAAAUACCACCCUUUAAUGUUUGAUGUUCUAACGUGGACCCGUAAUCCGGGUUGCGGACAGUGUCUGGUGGGUAGUUUGACUGGGGCGGUCUCCUCCUAAAGAGUAACGGAGGAGCACGAAGGUUGGCUAAUCCUGGUCGGACAUCAGGAGGUUAGUGCAAUGGCAUAAGCCAGCUUGACUGCGAGCGUGACGGCGCGAGCAGGUGCGAAAGCAGGUCAUAGUGAUCCGGUGGUUCUGAAUGGAAGGGCCAUCGCUCAACGGAUAAAAGGUACUCCGGGGAUAACAGGCUGAUACCGCCCAAGAGUUCAUAUCGACGGCGGUGUUUGGCACCUCGAUGUCGGCUCAUCACAUCCUGGGGCUGAAGUAGGUCCCAAGGGUAUGGCUGUUCGCCAUUUAAAGUGGUACGCGAGCUGGGUUUAGAACGUCGUGAGACAGUUCGGUCCCUAUCUGCCGUGGGCGCUGGAGAACUNAGGGGGGCUGCUCCUAGUACGAGAGGACCGGAGUGGACGCAUCACUGGUGUUCGGGUUGUCAUGCCAAUGGCACUGCCCGGUAGCUAAAUGCGGAAGAGAUAAGUGCUGAAAGCAUCUAAGCACGAAACUUGCCCCGAGAUGAGUUCUCCCUGACUCCUUGAGAGUCCUGAAGGAACGUUGAAGACGACGACGUUGAUAGGCCGGGUGUGUAAGCGCAGCGAUGCGUUGAGCUAACCGGUACUAAUGAACCGUGAGGCUUAACCUU